AUGCACAAUGGUCGGCUUGUUGCUAUUAAACUCUUUGGUUUUGACUGUGACACUCCUGCACGGUGUUUUAUUUUGAAUAUUAUCGGUCAUGGUGGUUAUUCUUCUUGCAUCCGUUGCAAAACUGUAGACCUUAAUGUUGGAAAUAAGAGGGUGUUCCCUGAAAUCGAUGCGGCGCUUAGGACUGAUGAAGAAUUUAGGACCAGAGCAGAUACUCAUUUUCGACCACCUGGCACAUCAACUCCUCUUCUUGAAUUGGACGGGCUUCAAUUCUGUGCCGAUUUUAUUCUAGAUCCCAUGCACCUGCUGUAUGGGGGUAUAAUGAAGUAUUUGCUCUGUACUUGGCUCGAUGGUUCCCUUCCUCAUAAAUUUUCUGUCCAACUUCGUGAAGCAUUCAGAGAAAAUAUUAAGAGUCUGAAGAUUCAUAUUCCAGACGAUUUCUCGCGAAAAUUGCAGGAAAUUGCGAUCAGCAAAAAGAAAGAAAAGGUCUCCUUAAAAUGGAAAUCAAAGGAAUACAGACUUUUUCUGCUCUAUGUAGGGCCAGCUAUUCUUAAAGAUUUCUUGGUGCCUCAGAAAUACAAUCACUUCCUCUACCUGCAUGCUGCGAUAACUAUUCUGAGUAGGCAAGACUUGUGUGCAAAUCUAGAUUUUCGAAACUAUGCUCGCCAAUUAUUAAUACACUUUGUCUCGAAAACCAUUGAGCUUUAUGGUGUUGAGUUCAUAACCCCAAAUUUUCACAGUCUCAUCCAUCUUGUGGAUGAUGUCGAUAGGUUUUCAGUUCACUUCACUGACUUCACUUUGCAUGCCCUCACAGUUUUUGCUCAUGAAAACUUUUUAGGCAAAGUGAAAAAGCUUGCAAGAGGUCCAGCCAGAUCCCUGCAGCAAAUUGCUAAUCGCUUAGGAGAAUUGUCUAACUGUAAAUUGCAGAGCAAGUUGUAUGGAACUUCCACCAAACCGGAUAUUUCAUUCCAGCACAAGCAUAAUGAUGGGCCACUGCCUUUAUCCUAUAGAAAUCCCCAAUACAAAACACUUGUUCUCCCUGAUUUCAAGCUCUCCAUUACACCUGCUUCAUCUUCAUUUUGUAGAAUGAAAAACAAGAUAUCGUCAAAAUAG
rnacentral:lncRNA from 1 species